rnacentral:rRNA from 1 species
UACGAAGGGGGCUAGCGUUGCUCGGAAUUACUGGGCGUAAAGGGCGCGUAGGCGGCACUGUUAGUCAGGCGUGAAAGUCCUGGGCUCAACCUGGGAACUGCGCUUGAUACGGCAGAGCUAGAGGAUGGAAGAGGCUCGCGGAAUUCCCAGUGUAGAGGUGAAAUUCGUAGAUAUUGGGAAGAACACCGGUGGCGAAGGCGGCGAGCUGGUCCAUUACUGACGCUGAGGCGCGACAGCGCGGGGAGCAAACAGG